rnacentral:rRNA from 1 species
GCUUAACACAUGCAAGUCGAGCGAGAAUCGUUUUGCUGAAGGCUUCGGUCUGACGCAGAAUGAGGAAAGCGGCGAACGGGUGAGUAACGCGUGGGCAACCUGGCCUUAAGAAAAGGAUAGCCCCCGGAAACGGGGAGUAAUACUUUAUGAGAAUGAAAGAGGGCAUCCUACUUUCAUUCAAAGCGCAGGCGCUUAAGGAUGGGCCCGCGUAUCAUUAGCUAGUUGGUGAGAUAACAGCCCACCAAGGCAACGAUGAUUAGCCGGUCUGAGAGGGCGAACGGCCACAUUGGAACUGAGAGACGGUCCAAACUCCUACGGGAGGCAGCAGUGGGGAAUAUUGCGCAAUGGAGAAGAACUCUGACGCAGCAAUACCGCGUGAGCGAAGAAGGUCUUCGGAUCGUAAAGCUCUGUUAUCAGGGAAGAAGAAAAUGACGGUACCUGAUGAGCAAGUCCCGGCUAACUACGUGCCAGCCGCCGCCGUAAAAC